GUGAAACUGCAAGUCGAGAGCGUGGGAAACCAGCAAGUUGAGAGAGGAUCCAGAAGUAACCCCUUCUAAAACGGGAAAGAUGCCUUCCGAAAGGUGACCAAAUUCUUGUUUUAGAUGGUGGUGUUAAUUUGGGAGGUUGGAAGGGAGGCAGGUGGGAGAAGGGACAUGUCCCUUUCGAAGAGCCCCUUUGUUUCUUCUGUGGAGCACAGCUCUGUGGGAGGCAUCUGCUCUUUACCUAUAGACCGGAUGGCCUGGUACUGGUCUUCUCUAGACUGAAGGUCCUCCACCAGGUCUCCUGCUGCUGCUACCUAAGAAAGAAAUCUCACAAGGGUGUUAAAAGGUAAUUUCCAGAAAGAGGUAAAAUCGUGACCGUUAUACAGAUAUAAAAACGAACAUGUGUUAAAGACUUUAUUUUACUUACAUAACUGAGAGAGCCAGGCAGAUGUUAUAACUGGUUUAAAAAAGAAACAGCCCCAAUUUAUGUGGAGUAAAGGAAUUUAGAGAUGAAUUGCAAAUGGAAGCAAACUGUUUAUUGCCCCCCACCCCGCCCCCGCCGCCACACACACAGGGGGAAGGAAGUCAAUUGAACCAGAUAGGACAGGAUUUGCAUAUCUAUCAGUGACCUACAACUUAGGGAGUGGCAAAUAGCUCCAGUAGAAUCAGAAUCAGAUAACGCCUGAAAGCACGUACUACAGGCAAUAGUUUUCUAUUGAAGUGUGAAUUUACAGGGGCAAGAAAUUUUGCUUUCUGAAUUUUUUUUUUUUUUGAGACAAUGUUUCACUCUGUCACCCAGGCUGGAGUGCAGUGGCGCGAUCUCGGCUCACUGCAACCUCUGCCUCCCGGGUUCAAGCAAUUCUCUUGCCUUGGCCUCCCAAGUAGCUGGGGUUACAGGCAUGUGCCACCACGCCCGGCUAAUUUUUGUAUUUUUAGUGGAGAUGGGGUUUCUCCAUGUUGGUCAGGCUGGUCUCAAACUUCUGGCUUCACAUGCUUUUUUAACCCAAGAGAGUGAGAUGAACUUGAGAAUCUUUGGUCAAAGUUGCCCCCCAAACCUCCACAAUAUUCUACCUUACUUUAUUUCCCUGUCACAUCAAAAUGCAUACAAUCGUGGUUGAUUUGUUUCUCGGUGAUUUGAGAAGGAUUACAAAGAGGCUGUCUUGACCUUGUCAUCUUGUUCUUUUCUCUCUUACAGCACUUGGCCCUAAAGAGAAAACACUAGGAGGAUGGGAACCAGGGACAGAGAAGCUACUUGCUCUGCAGCUGUUUGGGCCAGUAUGUUCCCUAAUCUUGAUGGCCAUCCUGGGCUUAUUUUCCUGAGAGUCUCUAAGUGACUCACUGCAUCACGUAAAACUAAGAAAAAGGAUGUCCUGAAUUUUCCUGCUUAGAGAGCUUGUUUUUCUUUCCUGUUGCAUCAAAGGGGUCUGUUAAACUUUCUAAAAGUACUAAUCUGACCUGAUAUCUGAAGUAACAGAUAGGAAUUUGGGCUCUUUAAAUGGAGCCCUUCCCCCAUACCUGCAUCUCAUUGAAGAGGCUGAACUUCAAAACAAAAUCAUGUUGGAGAAUUAAGUCUCGUUCCCAGAUUUAAUUUCUUAUUUUUAUAUUGUUGCAUAAGAAAUCUACUCUAUAAGGCAUCUAUUUUCAAAUUUGGAAAAUCUUAUUUUAAGUUCAUUUAUUUAAAGACCAACAAACAAAAACACCAAAUUCACUAGCCCAGGUCUUUAUGGACCACCAUCUCCCCUCCCCGCCUCCAUUUCUCCCUGGAGUAGUGAUUGUGGGGCCACUGCAUGAAUUUUACUCUAUUAUUUAUCUAAUGAGCAAAGCCAAGGCUGGCAAUGCUGAGAAUGCAUGAGGGAAAAAAAGAUAUCACAAUGACAGCACACUCUGCAGCGUUCCAUCCAAAAGCAAGUAAGUGACUCACUGUUCUGUAAAGCACAGGGCAGAUUCUUAUACGGAAAAACUACCCUCAGAAGUGCAUGUGAGACCCUAGUCUGUGUAAAGGAAUUUACUCUGGGUUUUCUUCACAUUGGCACUCAGGUAUGCGGGUGUGGGUUCACAGACAUUCCUUUCUGACUCAUUACCCACUUUGCCCCUGCUCCCCGCCCCCUUAGUGCUUGAGGCACUUUUUCCAGCCUCCCCUGGGCUGGGGCAGAGAUUGAUGGUAUCUUGGCACUCUCCAAAGAGAAGCUGUGCCCCUUUGCACUUUCUUUUUGUGACUAGUCCUUAAGACUUGCUGCCAAGCUUGGUUAAAUGGACAUGGCACAGCUGCCACUGAGCUGAAAGCUCUUACCUACGAGGGGUUGUGGUACAUGUAGACUCUUCUGUUAGUCUGCCACUCAACACGUAUUUAUCCACCAGACAGACAGUGAGAUAGUGAAGGGGACCAGAAUCUGCCACCCCAAAAUAUACCACUUUGGCAUAAGGAUUGUUUUGAUUUGAAAGCAAUUAGCUCUCUGCCUUCCCCUUUUCUGUCUAAAAGUAGGACAUAAAUUUCCUUUUGAAAAUUUACAAAUUUCCAUUUGUAAAGGUGUCUCCCUCUCCUGUACCAGCAAGAAAACUACUCUGGAGGCAACUCUUAGCACCCAGGAUGUCUCUUAUCCACAUAACAAACCUUACUAAAUGACCCUUAUUUCCUGUACAUUUCCUAUUCACCUUCCUAUAAUUUAUCUCCUCCCCAGAAGCCCCAGAUCACUUUGCUUUUGUCUAGCCUAAGAUAGUAUAUAACCCCAAAUUCUAACUGCUUCCUUGAGUCACAUUUCUUUGUGAACUCCUGUGCGUAUGCACAUACUUAAAUCUGUUUUUUUUCUGUUAAUCUGCCUUUUAUCAGUUUUAUUUGCAAGCUUCAGCAACUGAAGUUGAAACUGCCUUUGCAAAAAUUAUAACAGUCAGAAAAUUAUGACAGUGAAAGAGGUCUGAUCCAACCAACUCUAUCUUGCCUUUAACCUCCAAAUUGCCCUUGAUCAAGGCAUGGGCCAAGCUAACUUUGGGAGAAAUUUAUAAUUUAAAUGAUAAUAGCCCUCCCCAAAACUAAACUGUCUUUGUAAAACUAAUGAAAGGCCACCAGGUUGGGAGGAUGAUUGGGGCCUGAAUUCCACUAAGAUGUAGGCAUAAAUGAUUACCGGCCAUUAUUCUGGAGGCCACAAGGUUUGCAACUUCCGCAAUUACUCCUGUAAAUAACAUCACUAUUGUAGAACCUAACAUUGGCCUUUUGAGAUGUCUUUUCAGAUUUUUGCAUUUCAGAUGAUCCAAUGGCCCCAUCUAGACUGGAGACACCAACUCAUGACUCAGCUGGCCUUGUGGCCCACACCCAGAAGUGGACUCAGUGCAUGAGGACUAUUUUCCACACUCCUAUGAUAGCAUCCCCAACCAAUCAGCAGGACCAUUUCCUAGCCCCUUGCCCACCAAACUAUCUUUUAAAAAACCUGGCUGGGCGCAGUGGCUCACACCUGCAAUCCCAGCACUUUGGGAGUCUGAGGUGGGUGGAUCACGAGGUCAGGAGUUCAAGACCAGCCUGGCUAAGAUGGUGAAACCCUGUCUCUACUAAAAAUACAAAAAAAAUUAGCCGGGCAUGGUGGCAGGCACCUGUAAUCCCAGCUACUUGGGAGGUUGAGGCAGAGAAUUGCUUGAACCCAGAGGCGGAGGUUACAGUGAGCCGAGAUCACUCCACUGCACUCCAGCCUGGAUAACAGAGCAAGACUCUGUCUCAAGGAAAAAAAAAAACAACCUAGCCUCCACAUUUUCAGAGAGGCUCGUUUGAGUAAUAAUAAAACUCUGGUCUCCCAUUUAGCUGGCUCUUCUUGUAUUAAACUCUUUUUCUAUUGCAAUAACCCUGUCUUGAUAAAUUAGCUUCAUCUGGGAAGCAGGCAAGAAGAACUUAUUGGAUGGUUAUAUAGUGGGCUUCUAGCAUGGCCUAGAGAUGCAGAGGCCAUGGCAGAUAAAGCCAACUUCCUCCAACUGAGUAGAGGACUCAGGGGCCCAGAGGAGUCAGAAGGGGAGAUGGGAGCCAAGGAUGAGGAAGAACUCCUGGAAAGGCCUGAGAAAGAAGGACCCUAAGUUUAGCAUCUUAGGUCCCGAAAAAUGGCUGAAGGAGAGGAAAAGAUGGAGAGAAAGAGUAUUGUGACAUGAACCUGCCCCUGUGCCUCGAGUUCCUGGGAGUUUCUUGUUAGCUUCUGUGUCCUGUUUUUCUGUAUCCUCUGCAAAGGAAAGAUGAAAUCUGUUGCCACAUAGGCGAUGGGGUUCAGGACACACUACUCCAAAAGAUGGCAUCUUGUCAUAUUGAAGAAAAUAGCAGAAACUGGACCAUUGGUCUUACCUUUCCCCAUACUUCUCCCCUGAAGUGGAUUAUAAAACCUAGGAAGGACUCUCUGACUGAGACGGUUUGGCUGUGUCUCCACCCAAAUCUCAUCUUGAAUUGUAACUCCCACAAUUCCCACAUGUCAUGGGAGGAACCCAGUGGGAGGUGAUUGAAUUAUGGGGGCGAGUCUUUCCUGCACUGUUCUUGUGAUAGUGAAUGAGUCUCAUGAGAUCUGAUGGUUUGAUAAGGGGAAGCCCGUUUUGCUUGGCUCUCAUUCUCUCUCUUUGCCUGCCACCAUCCACGUAGGAUGUGACUUGCUCCUCCUUGUUUUCCAACAUGAUUGUGAGGCCUCCCCAGCCACGUGGAACUGUAAGUCCAUUAAACCUCUUUCUUUUAUAAAUUGCCCAGUCCAGGUAUGCCUUUAUCAGCAGCAUGAAAACCAACUAAUACACUGACCUUCCCCUAAAGUAGGUUAUAUGACCCUCAUCUGACAGAUGCCCUCCUUAGACCUACAGGGAAGGAAAAAGCAUCCUUAUCUCUGAAAAUGGAGGAACACAGAGAAAAAUUCAAACAAACAGGCCUCGUUAAGUCCCUGCCCCAUUUAUUACCAUUAGAUAAUAUUCUUUGUCCUAUCAUAUUUCUCCAUGACUGUUCAUUCUUCAUCAAACCUAGAAUAAAAACACUCAAAUGUACCUGUUUC
rnacentral:tRNA from 10 species